rnacentral:rRNA from 1 species
CUACGGAGGGUGCAAGCGUUAUCCGGAAUCAUUGGGUUUAAAGGGUCCGUAGGCGGACUAUUAAGUCAGAGGUGAAAUCCCACAGCUCAACUGUGGAACUGCCUUUGAUACUGGUAGUCUUGAGUUAUAUGGAAGUAGAUAGAAUGUGUAGUGUAGCGGUGAAAUGCAUAGAUAUUACACAGAAUACCGAUUGCGAAGGCAGUCUACUACGUAUAUACUGACGCUAAGGGACGAAAGCGUGGGGAGCGAACAGGAUUAGAGACCCGAGUAGUCC